rnacentral:lncRNA from 1 species
GUGAGUACAUGACAGGAUGACCUGUCAUCUGCUGGAACUUCAUUUCUCAGAGCCUAGACUCUAGUUAGUUAAGACACCCCACUUGGCAACAGGAUGUCUUCUUGCACAAUCCAUCUUUGGACUCCUGGCCUUCAUUUUUUGCUUUAAUACUGGAUGUUUGGCCUGGAUGGCUGCAUCACACAAACAGACAGGGAAAUGUGGAGAGAAGUUAAUGAAUUUCAGUUUGACCUGGUGUUUCAAGUGCCCAUGGGGCCACAGUUCCUCCAACCAAGGCAUGGGAUUAUUUUGCCAUCAUUUCAGGGAAACCAAGGCAGCAGCUGGGGCAGCUGGUCACGGUGCAUCCUUGGUCAAGAGCGAAGAGAGACAAACGCAGCCUUGCUUGCUUGCUGCAUAGCUAGCUUCCUCCACUCUUCACAGCCUAGCUCGUGACAUGGUGCUGUCCAUGUCCAGGAGAAAGGUCCAGGAACCUGCUACUCCUCUAGCAUCCUACAUGGCAACUGCUCUCUACCUACACAUCAGAAUCCUCCUCAUCUCCGAG